GUGAAUGGAACAUUCCAGGCCAAAGGGAGGCAGAGACGGGGUUCUGUGUGACUGGGCACCUGUGGAAUCUUCCUUUAUAGUCACUAUUAAAUCGGUGUUGACAAAUCAAAUAUCAAUAUGGAACACCAUCAUCUGACUGGAAUCUGAGAAAUCAUCCACACCUCCUGAGUGGAAGCAUACAGAAGAUACAUUUCUGCAGGAUGCUGGGGACCUGGGGGCUAGGCUGCAUCCACUUUGGCUGAGCCUGUUCCAUACUGUCCAGCUCCCACUGUCACAUCCUUUCUCUUGAUGGUGAGGGAGCUGACGAAGGACAGACUCAGGUUCUCACAGGAGACAUGAAUUUGCCACAUCACCUUGCUAAAGUUCUCAUGUCCCCCAUGCCUUUCUGCUUGGAUUUUUCUUUUAAGACAACCUUUUUUUUUUUUUUUCUUAAAAGAGCAAAUUAUGCCACACAUGGAGAAAAAGCUUAAAUUUAGGAUUUAUAAUACAGGCUUCAGUGAAGACAUAAAGAGAUGGUUUGGUAAUUUAGUACAUACAUACACAUUAAAGGUUUAUGCAGAGCAAGAACAUGGAAUACCCCAUAAUGGACUUCCCACGUAGCUGUGGGAUGCACAGACCACUACCUGCAUGGAUCAAGAUGCAUCCUGGAAUGGACUUCCCACUGA